GCGGCGUAAACAGCGGAAAAUGAGUCUAAAAAAAGAGUUUUUUCCAGAGGCAACAGAAAAAAUAUCAUGAACAUUGUUGUGUUCCCACAUGCACGUCAUCGUCUAAAUUCAACGGCGUUUUAAGCUACCACGGAUUUCCUAGCAAUGUUGAACUCAGAAAGCGGUGGCUGGUGAAUAUUCGUCGUGAUAAGUUUGUUGUCACAGGACACAGCAAAGUCUGUAGUUUGCACUUCACACCGGAGCAGAUCAUUCAGCCGAAAACACCGGAGGGGAAAAGGCAACUAAAGAAAGGAGCUGUCCCGUUAUUGUUCCAGUGGAAUGAUUACUCCAUUCCAUCACCAAGACUGAGCGUUUGGGACAGAGUAAGCAAACUUCAGCCUGAGCUGGCAUCAGCAGAAGAUGGGCAACAUAUGGACUACACUCCUGCAGCUGAUCAUGACUGAUCAUUUAUCUGUCCCAGAACCCGCUUUCGUGGACUCUGCAGUCGAAGAAAACACGAAAUUAAAAGAAGAAAUUGACUCAUUAAAGAAAGAGAUCCAGGAGCUGAAAAUUAUCUGUAAAUUUGGAUUGCAAAGAUUCGCCCACUCUGACGACGAUGUUUGAUUCUAUACACGAUUUCCCAGUUACCAUAACCUCAUGCUUUUUUGGAGAUUGGUUGAACCAUCGGUGCAUAAAAUGGUUCGUGCGUCGAGGGCCAAAGCUGCUGAAAAAUUUAAUGAAGCAGUAACAUCUGUCCGCCCCACACACACGAGACAAUCAUUGCAACCCAUCGAUGAGCUAGU